rnacentral:rRNA from 1 species
GAUGAACGCUAGCGGCAGGCCUAAUACAUGCAAGUCGAACGAGAUUAAGAGGCUUGCUUCUUAUGAAAGUGGCGCACGGGUGCGUAACGCGUAUGCAACCUACCUUAAUCAGGGGGAUAGCCCGAAGAAAUUCGGAUUAAGACCGCAUAAAAACACAGGAUAGCAUUAUCCAAUGUUCAAAUAUUUAUAGGAUUAAGAUGGGCAUGCGUGUCAUUAACUAGUUGGCGGGGUAACGGCCCACCAAGGCGACGAUGACUAGGGGAUCUGAGAGGAUGACCCCCCACACUGGUACUGAGACACGGACCAGACUCCUACGGGAGGCAGCAGUAAGGAAUAUUGGUCAAUGGAGGGAACUCUGAACCAGCCAUGCCGCGUGCAGGAAGACAGCCCUCUGGGUCGUAAACUGCUUUUAUUCGGGAAUAAACCUUUCUACGUGUAGGAAGCUGAAUGUACCGAAGGAAUAAGGAUCGGCUAACUCCGUG